CCUACGGGUGGCUGCAGUAGGGAAUCUUCCGCAAUGGACGAAAGUCUGACGGAGCAACGCCGCGUGAGUGAAGAAGGUUUUCGGAUCGUAAAACACUGUUGUCGGGGAAGAACAAGUACGUUAGUAACUGAACGUACCUUGACGGUACCUUCCCAGAAAGCCACGGCUAACUCCGUGCCAGCAGCCGCGGUAAUACGGAGGUGGCAAGCGUUAUCCGGAAUUACUGGGCGUAAAGCGCGCGUAGGCGGUCUGUUAAGUCUGAUGUGAAAGCCCCCGGCUCAACCGGGGAGCGUCAUUGGAAACUGGGAAGCUUGAGUGCAGAAGAGGAGAGUGGAAUUCCAGGUGCAGCGGUGAAAUGCGUAGAGAUAUGGAGGAACACCGGUGGCGAAGGCGGCUCUCUGGUCGGUAACUGACGCUGAGGUGCGAAAGCGUGGGGAGCAAACAGGAUUAGAUACCCCAGUAGUC
rnacentral:rRNA from 1 species